CGAGGCGGUAGCGCCGCGGCACCACGAUGCGCCGCCGCGGCCGGCGCAGCGCCCGUUCGACGGCGGCCGCCACGA
rnacentral:tRNA from 1 species